rnacentral:rRNA from 1 species
GGCUACAGAAUAAACGCUGGCGGCGUGCUUAACACAUGCAAGUCGAGCGAGAAGUAACCUCGGGUUUUGUAAAGCGGCGGACGGUGAGUAACGCGUGAAUGAUCUACCUUUAGUGGAGAAUACCUUCGAGAAAUCGGAGUUAAUACUGCAUAAGUUCCUUCGGGAAGAAAGAUGGGCCUCUUUGCUGUCGCUAUAGGAUGAGUUUGCGUACUAUUAGCUAGUUGGUGGGGUAAAGGCCUACCAAGGCGAGGAUGGUUAGCCGGCCUGAGAGGGUGUACGGCCACAUUGGAACUGAGAGACGGUCCAGACUCCUACGGGAGGCAGCAGUGAGGAAUAUUGCGCAAUGGGCGAAAGCCUGACGCAGCGACGCCGCGUGGAGGAUGAAGGCCUUCGGGUUGUAAACUUCUGUUAAACGGGAAGAAAUACGCAGACUUAAUAAGUCUGUGGGCUGACGGUACCGUUAGAGAAAGCACCGGCUAACUUCGUG